rfam:Phenylobacterium sp. SCN 70-31 ABS78_C0004, whole genome shotgun sequence.
UCGGGCUUCCGCGGAUCGCCCGACUAGACGGGUGCGCCCGUCCAAGAUCCGC